rnacentral:rRNA from 1 species
AAAUUUAAAUAAUAAACUAGGAUUAGAUACCCUAUUAUUUUAAAUGUUAAUUAUAUUUACCAGGGUACUAUUAGUUAAGGUCUUUAAACCCAAAGAAUUUGGCGGUAUCUCAUUCCAUUCARAGGAACCUACCCCGUGAUUGAUAAUACACGAUUAACUCUACUUAAUUUAUUUGUUUGUAUAUCUCCGUUAUCAGAGAAUCUUUUUAGAGUUAUAAUUCUCAAGAUUUAUAAUUAUAAAAUAUUUCAGGUCAAGGUGCAGCUUAUAGUUAAGAGGAGGUGGGUUACAAUAGAUUUUUGUUUAUAAUGGAUUUGAUAGUGAAAUACUGUUAAUGAAGGUGGAUUUGAUAGUAAUUUGAUUUAUUUAAUUUAACUGAUAUUGGCUCUGAGGUGUGUACACAUCGCCCGUCGCUCUCAUUAUUGAUUAUUCUAUUUUGUUAUUUUGAGGUAGCUUCAAUUAUAUUUGAGAUAAGUCGUAACAUAGUAGAUGUACUGGAAAGUGUAUCUAGUAAGAGUUU